GUGACGUCAUCUCGAGGUGCCCGCUCUCGCAGCCAUGGCCGCCGCGGCAGCAGGCUCCUGCUCCGAGCAUCCAGAGGGAUUCAGGAAGCCACCAGAGAGAAGGAAAGUGGAUUCGAGGGACCUGCCACCGUAAUUAGCCCAGUUUCGGUUAAUUGAGGGCCUUAGCCCCUCAUCUCCCAGGGCUGAAAUUCCGUGGGAAUGCCGUGACCUGAGACACGGAGCUGCAUCGUGGCAGGAUUUAUUUGUGACACCUCCUGCCCAGGCUCCCUCUGUGUGAUCCAGAGGGAUUCAGGAAGCCAUCAGCAAGGAGAAAGUGUGUGCGACGCCCUUGUCACUGUAAUUAACACAGUCGUGGUUAAUUAACACUGCCAGCACGAGGUGUGUGCUGGGUGUCACAGCCAAGGCCUCAGCCAUCCCGCCCUUCCCUGAUCCCACAGGGAAUUAUCCCGUGGCCGUGGGUGGAAGGAGAAGCUGCAGCAGCGUGGCAGAUUCCCUGUGGAACAACGAGGAGAAUUCAGCAACACCGAAUUCAGGGAAUUAAAAUGUGAACUCAUUGUUUUUCCAUA